CGUGGAUUUUGUUGUGAUUUUGUGACCAGUCCAACAUCUAACCGCGAUACAGCAAUACAGCGGAGAAGUGCUGUCCCUCUAUUUUCCGUUACAACAAAAACUAAGCAUGAGCAACAACAUAUAACAAACUAAAAACAAUGCAAAAAUUUAAAUUAUUGUGUGUUUGUUAAAUAAAUUUUAAUUAAAAUACUUCGGAGAAAUGGGAAAUAAAAAUGUGAAUAAACCAAAUUUUUCGUUUCCGUUAAUAAGACAAUAAACCGAACAACAACAACAAAAACCAACAUAUAAACAAAAUAAAAAAGAUAACUUAAAAUAGGCUUGUAAACUUGUGUGGUACUACGGCAUCCCUCAAAGUGAUAUUCAUCGGCCAAACUAAUUGAGAAAAUACCAAGGGUUGCCAAUUAGAAUUUUAAUGUCUUUUGCUUUGGAAAAAAGUGACCAACUGAAUUAUGCAUGAAAUUCGAAAAUAUUUAAUUAAUUUGUGAGAAAUCUGAUGAAAACAACACAAUAUUUUCGUCCCAUAUGAAUAUGCUAAAUAAAUAGAGUGUGCUGUUUCCAAUUACCACAUAAAUUGUUGCCAAUUUGCUUAUGAAAAAAAUUAUUUAAAAUUUAUGUGUUUAUCAAAGUGAUUGUGUGUAAAAUUAACUACUUUGUUUUUUUUUCAAUAAAAAAUGUGAGCAGCUUUA
rnacentral:sRNA from 1 species